rnacentral:rRNA from 1 species
AGUGAACGCUGGCGGUAUGCCUAAUACAUGCAAGUCGAACGGCAGCAUAGUAAGAGCUUGCCUUUACGGGUGGCGACGGACGGACGAGUUAGGCGUACAUCGGCAUCUACUUUUUCGUGGGGGAUAACGUAGGGCAACUGACGCUACUACCGCAUACGACCUACGGGUGGAAGCAGUAGAUCUUCGCACCUUUCGCGUCUCAUUUAGCCGAUGUCGGAUUAGCUAGUUGGCGGGGUAAGGGCCCACCAAGGCGACGAUCCGUAGCCGACCUGAGAGGAUGAUCAGCCACACUGGAACUGAGACACGGUCCAGACUCCUACGGGAGGCAGCAGUGGGGAAUAUUGGACAAUGGGCGCAAGCCUGAUCCAGCAAUGCCGCGUGGGUGAAGAAGGCCUUCGGGUUGUAAAGCCCUGUUGUUGGGGAAGAACAGCAGCAGGAUAAUACCUCGAUAUUCUGACGGUACCCAAAGAAUAAGCACCGGCUAACUUCGUG